AGGGUUCGAUUCUGGCUCAGGAUGAACGCUAGCUACAGGCUUAACACAUGCAAGUCGAGGGGCAGCAUUGGAGUAGCAAUACUCAGAUGGCGACCGGCGCACGGGUGAGUAACACGUAUCCAACCUGCCGCUUACUCGGGGAUAGCCUUUCGAAAGAAAGAUUAAUACCCGAUGGUAUAAAGAGUUCGCAUGUUCUCUUUAUUAAAGAAUUUCGGUAAGCGAUGGGGAUGCGUUCCAUCAGAUAGUUGGCGGGGUAACGGCCCACCAAGUCUACGAUGGAUAGGGGUUCUGAGAGGAAGGUCCCCCACAUUGGAACUGAGACACGGUCCAAACUCCUACGGGAGGCAGCAGUGAGGAAUAUUGGUCAAUGGACGAGAGUCUGAACCAGCCAAAAGUAGCGUGAAGGAUGACUGCCCUAUGGGUUGUAAACUUCUUUUAUAAGGGAAUAAAGUGAGGGACGUGUCCCUUUUUGUAUGUACCUUAUGAAUAAGGAUCGGCUAACUCCGUGCCAGCCGCCGC
rnacentral:rRNA from 1 species